GUUCUGGUGGCAUCCAAAGGACAAACUUCAAGUAAAAUGUGUUCAGCUCUGCCAAUAAAAAUACAAAGAUAAUGCCACAAACUGCUAGCCAUCUCCGUAAGCUGGAUGCUGGCUUCCACUCAAAUUUGACCCAGCUAUAUGGGGUGAACUGGAAGACAAUUCUCUUCAUUUUACCUUUGUAUGUAGGAAUGUUCCAAAGUCCUUGCCAUUUGUAUGUUUUCAAAGAAAGCCAAGAAAGAGUCUUCAUCCCACAGUAAAUUCCUAAUCCAUUACAUAAGAUCACAUCCAUUAUCCAGUGAUCCCACCAACAUUCACUGAAGUUUGGAAGCUGGUGUUCCAGACUGUACUCCAGAAAUUCAAACAUUACACUGAUGAUCAUACACAUCCACCAGUCUCGAAUCAUCAGUGUCUUCAGGUACCAGCCAAAGAAGUGAGCAGGAACAAAUCCAUCCAGUUUGUCCCAGAUGUUGUGAAAUGGAUCACUUUCGUUGCCAGGGUCAUAAAUAAGGCAGUUGCCACCAUAGUCUCUUUCUGGCAAAGGAACACCUAAAUGUGGAUCAAUGUACUUCAUAAACUGUCUGCCAUCUUGUACGGUCUGGAAGAGUAUGAAGAUGAGGAAGAGCUCAUACACAACGCUGACACACAGCCAAAACCUCCAGUAGGCUGGAUGAGGUCUUGAAAAUGGUCCAUCUUUAGCCUGUGUAACUCCAAAACACAGGAAAACCAAAAUACUGGCAACAAUACCUCUCUUUGUAUUGUAGGCUGUGUCUUGAGGUGUUUCUUCAAGUAAGGUUACGUAUCCCAGCGCACAGGUGAGGAUGAACAGAACUGUCAGGGUAUGAGCUCUCCAGAAGAACGUGUUGGUGCCGUCGUCGUAGACCUCAGACUCGGUGCUGCGGCGGAGGCCGAGCGCGGGGCCGUCCCUCUCGGGGCCGGGCGGCGGGGAGCCGCCGUUGGGCUGCUGGUGCUGCUCCUCCAGGGCGGCCUUACCCAGCGGCCCGGCGGGACCUCGGCGCUCGCCGCGCCUCAUGGCGGCAGCGGCCGCGGAACGACCCC
rnacentral:lncRNA from 1 species